rnacentral:misc_RNA from 1 species
GUAUUUGUUUGAUUUAAAAUAUUAAGUCAAGCAACAUUAUAGACGUGUUGGACAAUAAAAUUGGCAGGCCGAGAGGAAAAUAAUCCAUCUCGCUUCUGUCGGCAAUCGACACACCUGCCAACUAACAUUUCACUAAUUCACACAAGGUGGGUAUGGAUAAAUUAUCCAUAUUGGAUAAUUGUUAAUGAUCCUUCCGCAGGUUCACCUACGGAAA